rnacentral:lncRNA from 13 species
UGUAAAGGAGGUCCUUGCUUCUCCUUUGCCUUCCGCCACGAUUGUGAGUUUCCUGAGGCCUCCUAGCCCUUCAGAACUAUAGAAGAUGGUAGAAGAAAGAUCAGAAUAAUGUGAUAUGAAAAAGACCUGAAAAGUCCACUUGCUGGCUUGGAAGGUGCCCAGAAACCUUUAGAUGAGCCAAGCAGUGUAGGUGGCCUGCAGAAGCUGGAAAAGACAAAGAAACUGAGUCUUCUCAGCACCUCCAAGAAGCCACACAACCUUCUUGCACCUUUAUUUCGACCAUUACUGGAGAAUCUAAUUCAAGUUCAUGCCCUGUCCACAAGCCUCUGUGAGCAGUUCACAAUAGAACCAUGCCUAUUACAACACAUUCUCCGAUAGCACAGGUACCUCCUUGGAGACCCUCAUAAAACUUACAAAAC